GGGUGUCCGGAGAUAUCCGGUGGGGGGUGGGGGAGGUGUUGUGUGGCAGUGAGCCCUCUCGCAAAAGAUUAAGCGGCGGCGGAGACGAUGAAGGUGAUUGGCUCGAGGGAUACACGAAGUCGGGUUGGGCGGGUUGGCACCGGCGGAUCCAGCGGCUUCUGUCGCCGGAGAUGAAGCUGGAGGGGCGAACGCAGGCGAAACAAGGAAUAAGUUACUGUGGGCUGUCAAACUCGUGGCCCAUUGAUCUAGUGUGUUGUUCCUAAUUAUUCAGAGAGUAAAGAAUCUCAUCGUACAAUUACCAUCAUCAAGAUGAAGUGUGUAUGUUCCAAUUGGCGUAUCCCUGUCCAAGCCAUCGGCGCCUCCCAGUGCCCUGCGGCUCCCACAGCGCCACCCAGCAACCCAACCGCGGCUCCAACCGCGGCGGCCGAGACCGGUGGGUCUCCGACGAGCACUACAAUACAUAUGGGCUUCUGUGACAUUUCUUUUAUAUCACUGUAAGUGGUAUUUUCAUCAUAUUUCAUAAUCUAUGACACUUGCGUGACGAAAAUCGGUUCGUCACCUAUACCAUGUAAUAAAAGGUCUUCUGCGACGAAAUCAGAUUUUUUCGUCAUAAAUUUUAUGACAAUUAUUCUAUUGUCACUAAUUUAUGACGCUCAUUUUUUGUCA